rnacentral:misc_RNA from 1 species
UUGUGGAGGAGGACGCCGAAGGUGGGGCUAAUGACUGGGGUGAAGUCGUACAAGGUAGCCGUACCGGAAGGUGCGGCUGGAUCACCUCCUACAGGGAAACAGAAUUGAUCGUGAUGCUUGAGCUAAUUAUGCUUAGGCCAUGAUCCUGUCACCUUAGGUCGAUCGGUACCUCAGAUUAAUUGUUAAAGAAGCUCUGAAUAAUGAGUCCUUCUUUAACAAUCAAUUUCAGUUCCUAAACUUGUCUAGGUCACACCCAGCAAGGGUACUCCUGGGCCAUUAGCUCAGGUGGUUAGAGCGCACCCCUGAUAAGGGUGAGGUCCCUGGUUCAAGUCCAGGAUGGCCCAUCGGUAUUGGGGGUAUAGCUCAGUUGGUAGAGCGCCUGCUUUGCAAGCAGGAUGUCAGCGGUUCGAGUCCGCUUACCUCCACUGAAUAACCUCCUGACAACGAAGCCAAGGAGCCUAUUGUGUUGAUGUGAUUUAGACUUUGUUUUACCUGAAGAGGACCCCAACUUCCUAUCAUUCCGAAUUUUAAAAAGAAUAGGCUGAUAGGACGCUGGGCUCACUAUGGUUCGUAAGAAUCGUAGAUUUAGUUCAGUAGAACCUUGACAACUACAUAGGUAAGUCUGGAAAAAAUUAAGCAUCUCAUGGAUGCAUUAUUCCAAGAUAGAGUCAUUAAAGCUGUGAAAAUAGCUUUUAAUAGAUUCUAAACUUGUAAUCAUGCUUAUAUUCUUGAGUAAGAGCCGAGACUCUAUAGUUUUCUGAGCCUUUAAUUAGGUGUUAGAAAUUUUUAUGAUUGAUGCUUCAAUUAUAAAUGUGCAAAUAGCACAAAAACUAUAGAGAAUAAUGGUCAAGCUACAA